UAGGGAAUCUUCCGCAAUGGGCGAAAGCCUGACGGAGCAACGCCGCGUGAGUGAUGAAGGUCUUCGGAUCGUAAAACUCUGUUAUUAGGGAAGAACAAAUGUGUAAGUAACUAUGCACGUCUUGACGGUACCUAAUCAGAAAGUCACGGCUAACUACGUGCCAGCAGCCGCGGUAAUACGUAGGUGGCAAGCGUUAUCCGGAAUUAUUGGGCGUAAAGCGCGCGUAGGCGGUUUUUUAAGUCUGAUGUGAAAGCCCACGGCUCAACCGUGGAGGGUCAUUGGAAACUGGAAAACUUGAGUGCAGAAGAGGAAAGUGGAAUUCCAUGUGUAGCGGUGAAAUGCGCAGAGAUAUGGAGGAACACCAGUGGCGAAGGCGACUUUCUGGUCUGUAACUGACGCUGAUGUGCGAAAGCGGGGGGAUCAAACAGG
rnacentral:rRNA from 1 species